AAAUUGAAGAGUUUGAUCAUGGCUCAGAUUGAACGCUGGCGGCAGGCCUAACACAUGCAAGUCGAACGGUAACAGGAAACAGCUUGCUGUUUCGCUGACGAGUGGCGGACGGGUGAGUAAUGUCUGGGAAACUGCCUGAUGGAGGGGGAUAACUACUGGAAACGGUAGCUAAUACCGCAUAAUGUCGCAAGACUAAAGAGGGGGACCUUCGGGCCUCUUGCCAUCGGAUGUGCCCAGAUGGGAUUAGCUAGUAGGUGGGGUAACGGCUCACCUAGGCGACGAUCCCUAGCUGGUCUGAGAGGAUGACCAGCCACACUGGAACUGAGACACGGUCCAGACUCCUACGGGAGGCAGCAGUGGGGAAUAUUGCACAAUGGGCGCAAGCCUGAUGCAGCCAUGCCGCGUGUAUGAAGAAGGCCUUCGGGUUGUAAAGUACUUUCAGCGGGGAGGAAGGGAGUAAAGUUAAUACCUUUACUCAUUGACGUUACCCGCAGAAGAAGCACCGGCUAACUCCGUGCCAGCAGCCGCGGUAAUACGGAGGGU
rnacentral:rRNA from 1 species